rnacentral:rRNA from 1 species
GACGAACGCUGGCGGCGUGCUUAACACAUGCAAGUCGAACGGAAAGGCCCUGCUUUUGUGGGGUGCUCGAGUGGCGAACGGGUGAGUAACACGUGAGUAACCUGCCCUUGACUUUGGGAUAACUUCAGGAAACUGGGGCUAAUACCGGAUAGGAGCUCCUGCUGCAUGGUGGGGGUUGGAAAGUUUCGGCGGUUGGGGAUGGACUCGCGGCUUAUCAGCUUGUUGGUGGGGUAGUGGCUUACCAAGGCUUUGACGGGUAGCCGGCCUGAUAGGGUGACCGGCCACGUUGGGACGGGGAUACGGCCCAGACUCCUACGGGAGGCAGGAGUGGGGAAUAUUGCACAAGGGGCGGAAGCCUGAUGCAGCAACGCCGCGUGCGGGAUGACGGCCUUCGGGUUGUAAACCGCUUUCGCCUGUGACGAAGCGUGAGUGACGGUAAUGGGUAAAGAAGCACCGGCUAACUACGUG